ACCACCGUGCUGAUGUCGGAGCCAGAAUUCUUCACGGCGCUGUUGGAGGAGGAACACAUCUUGGACUGUCCCGUUACACCUGCAAGCAGCGUCACGCCGGCUUCCCCGCUGCACAUAAACGCAGGCGACUCUUACAAUUACCGACACUUUCAUGCGUUCCAGUCGGCGGUUGGUGAGGAAGAGGGGGCCAAUCGCUUCUAUUUAAGAGGUAUUUGUUUUGGAGCAGGGGGAAGCGGAAUUCUUUAUACACAUGGCCUUUUUUUUAACAAAUGUAUGAGAAGAAUCCCCAUUUUCAAGAAUAAAACUUUUUUUUUUUUAUUAUUGCAUUAACUGUUGUGGACAAAGGCAACAGAAGUGUGAAUAAAAGAGCCGGCGCUGCACUUUUCCUCUCAUUUACACCUAACGCCACAGUAAAAGCUUUCCACGCUUCACUCGGCAUAUGCUAGUGAUUAUUAAUUAGCUUGUUGCCUGCGUUUUGGGUAAUAAGAGAGAGAGAACCAGUAAAACGGUGAGUCCUCCGUCCCGAGGCGAAAGGCCUAUUCAAUUAAACUUUACUGUGUGUUUGUUUUUCAAUAGGAUUUUUAACGCCGGGCUGAUGCAACAUGGAGGCUCGGAGGGAGCCGACGGUUCUCCUGCCCCAAGAACCGCGUGAAACAAAAGCCCACGUUUAAAAAGAGCCCCGGAUUAGAAGAAGCUCAAACAAACCAGACUUGAUUUUUCUUCUACGACGUCUGCCAAGAAGGACGCGUUCCCAGUGCCCGUUGAUUGGCUGGUGUGUUUACUCGUCAAAUUGGAAACAACAGGCUGCUGGAUGGAUGUCGGGAUAAUCUAAUGUCGGAAAAUAAAGAAGAAGCUGCAAAUCCGACUAUAAAGGGACUGUUGGCACGGUUACGCGCUCAGGCGACCGUUUUCAUCUGCUGUGGUCUCCAGAAAACGUCUCCUUUGAGUAAAUAAGUAUAUUUUGGGUUUAAGUUCUGCCUGUUUGCUGAUUAGCUGAUUCUUUGCUGCUGUACAAGGUCCCGCCUGGUGACCCAUUCGUGACGGUGUUCUAUUUUAAAUGUGUUGCUCUCAGUAAAUAAACUAUUCCUUGCCAAGUCUUAAUGGUCCUGUUCUUGGUUUAGACCUGUUUUGGACCGGCACCAGCCACUGUUUUCCAGCAUUCUUGUAUCCACACGUCGUCCUUCUCAUUCUUCCUCCAUAAAACUCCGUAUUUGUGUCUAAAAUAGCAAUAUUUCAUCAUAACUAACACACACACACACACACACGGCUGAUAGCACAAACAGGUUAUUGUCCGCCCCUCUGUGGGGGGGGGGGGGGGGGGGGGUGACAUAUAAGUCAGGUGAUUGGCAGAGGAGAUGUCUUCACAGUGACAGUCUUUCUGCACUUGUGUGUGUGUGUGUGUGUGUGUGUGUGUGUGUGUGUACAGGCUGAUGUGGCAGAACACUGUCUGGGUCACAGAGUCUGUUGGCACCAGAGCUAAUGGACCUGUCCCCAGUGUGUGUGUGUGUGUGUGUGUGUGUGUGAACUGAU
rnacentral:lncRNA from 1 species